rnacentral:rRNA from 1 species
UACAGAGGUCUCGAGCGUUGUUCGGAUUCAUUGGGCGUAAAGGGUGCGUAGGCGGUUGGGUAAGUCAGACGUGAAAUUCCAGGGCUCAACCCUGAAACUGCGUUUGAUACUGCCUGACUAGAGUACUGGAGAGGAGACUGGAAUUCACGGUGUAGCAGUGAAAUGCGUAGAUAUCGUGAGGAAGACCAGUGGCGAAGGCGAGUCUCUGGACAGUAACUGACGCUGAGGCACGAAGGCCAGGGGAGCAAACGGG